rnacentral:rRNA from 1 species
GACGAACGCUGGCGGCGUGCCUAAUACAUGCAAGUCGAGCGAAGUUUUUCUGGUGCUUGCACCGGAAAAACUUAGCGGCGAACGGGUGAGUAACACGUAAAGAACCUGCCUCAUAGACUGGGACAAAUAUUGGAAACGAUAGCUAAUACCGGAUAACAGCAUUAACUGCAUGGUUGAUGUUUAAAAGUUGGUUUUGCUAACACUAUGAGAUGGCUUUGCGGUGCAUUAGCUAGUUGGUGGGGUAAAGGCCUACCAAGGCGACGAUGCAUAGCCGACCUGAGAGGGUGAUCGGCCACACUGGGACUGAGACACGGCCCAGACUCCUGCGGGAGGCAGCAGUAGGUAAUCUUCGGCAAUGGGCGAAAGCCUGACGGAGCAACGCCGCGUGAGUGAAGAAGGAUUUCGGUUCGUAAAGCUCUGUUGUUAGGGAAGAAUGAUUGUGUAGUAACUAUACACAGUAGAGACGGUACCUAACCAGAAAGCCACGGCUAACUACGUG